rnacentral:rRNA from 1 species
AUUGAACGCUGGCGGAAUGCUUUACACAUGCAAGUCGAACGGCAGCACGGACUUCGGUCUGGUGGCGAGUGGCGAACGGGUGAGUAAUGUAUCGGAACGUGCCCAGUCGUGGGGGAUAACGUAGUGAAAAUUGCGCUAAUACCGCAUACGAUCUAUGAAUGGAAGCGGGGGAUCGCAAGACCUCGCGCGAUUGGAGCGGCCGAUAUCAGAUUAGGUAGUUGGUGGGGUAAAGGCCCACCAAGCCAACGAUCUGUAGCUGGUCUGAGAGGACGACCAGCCACACUGGAACUGAGACACGGUCCAGACUCCUACGGGAGGCAGCAGUGGGGAAUUUUGGACAAUGGGCGAAAGCCUGAUCCAGCCAUUCCGCGUGCAGGAUGAAGGCCCUCGGGUUGUAAACUGCUUUUGUACAGAACGAAAAGGUUUCUACUAAUACUAGGAGCUCAUGACGGUACUGUAAGAAUAAGCACCGGCUAACUACGUGCCAGCAGCCGCGGUAA